UACGAAGGGGGCUAGCGUUGUUCGGAAUUACUGGGCGUAAAGGGCGCGUAGGCGGCUUCGAUAGUCGGGUGUGAAAUGCCUGGGCUCAACCCAGGAACUGCACUCGAAACUCCGAGGCUAGAGUGUGGGAGAGGAUGGUGGAAUUCCCAGUGUAGAGGUGAAAUUCGUAGAUAUUGGGAAGAACACCGGUGGCGAAGGCGGCUAUCUGGACCACAACUGACGCUGAGGCGCGAAAGCGUGGGGAGCAAACAGG
rnacentral:rRNA from 1 species